rnacentral:rRNA from 1 species
CCCUUAGAUGUUCUGGGCUGCACGCGCGCUACACUGAAGGAAUCAGCGUGCUAAAACCAUUGUCGAAAGGCAUUGGUAAACCCAUUAAAAUCCUACGUGAUUGGGAUCGGGAAUUGCAAUUAUUUCCCUUGAACGAGGAAUUCCCAGUAAGUGUGGGUCAUAAGCUCGCGUUGAUUACGUCCCUGCCCUUUGUACACACCGCCCGUCGCUGCCCGGGACUGAGCCGUUUCGAGAAAAGCGGGGACUGCUGCUGUCGGGGCUUUCGGGCCUUGGCUUCGGUGGAAACCGCUUUAAUCGCANUNGCUUGANCCGGGCAAAANUCGUANCA